rnacentral:rRNA from 1 species
ACGGAAGUCAAUGCAUUCAGAGGAGUAUACACGAUCCAUACUCGACUUGUCUCCCUCUGAAGGUUCGCUUUACCGGAAGACUGGGACCGCGAUGAAAGGCUUCCUU